CCGAAAACCUAGCCUUAAUCUCUCCACCAUCACCCCCCCCC
rnacentral:rRNA from 1 species